AAAUGAAAAAUGAAAAAAAGAAAAGAAAAAGAAAAAGCAAUACAAAAAGGCCUGAACCGAAAAAAAAACAAAAAGAGAUCAAACGGUCAGGUGGAUAAUGAUUGCCAAGGGAUAUUGAAAAAAGAAUAAGUUGCAGGAACCUCUGAUUCUGAUGCCUCUCGUGGAAGGAACAACUGUUAAUCUGGUACUUGACAGCCCUCGAGGGGUUUAUGAGGUGUGUAUUGGGUCAGCAUGAC
rnacentral:lncRNA from 1 species